rnacentral:rRNA from 1 species
CCUACGAGCGGCAGCAGUGAGGAAUAUUGGUCAAUGGGCGGAAGCCUGAACCAGCCAAGUAGCGUGCGGGAUGCAGGCCCUACGGGUCGUAACCCGCUUUUGCACGGGGAUAACACCCUCCACUUGUGGAGGUCUGCAGGUACCGUGCGAAUACGGGCCGGCCAAUUCCGUGCCAGCAGCCGCGGUACUACGGAAGGCCCGAGCGUUAUCCGGCUUCAUUGGGAUUAAAGGGAGCGUAGGCGGGCGUUCAAGUCAGCUGUAAAAUCGCGCGGCUCAACCGCGCCCCGCAGUUGAAACUGGACGCCUUGAGUUCACAACAGGCAGGCGGAAUUCGUGGUGUAGCGGUGAAAUGCAGAGAUAGAACGAGGAACCCCGAGUGCGAAGGCAGCCUGCCGGGGUGCGACUGACGCUGAGGCUCGAAGGUGCGGGUAUCAAACAGGAUUAGAUACCCCAGUAGUC